UACAGAGGUGGCAAGCGUUGUUCGGAAUUACUGGGCGUAAAGGGCGCGUAGGCGGCCAUCUAAGUCAGACGUGAAAUCCCCCGGCUUAACCUGGGAACUGCGUCUGAUACUGGACGGCUUGAGUAUGGGAGAGGGAUGUAGAAUUCCAGGUGUAGCGGUGAAAUGCGUAGAUAUCGGAAGGAACACCAGUGGCGAAAGCGGCUUCCUGGUCCAGCAUCGACGUUCAGGCACGAAAGCGUGGGGAGCAAACAGG
rnacentral:rRNA from 1 species